rnacentral:rRNA from 1 species
AUGGAUAAUGCUGCCUAUGCAUAUAGUGAACACAAAUUUAACAUUUCAAUGAAUGACCUUAGAGCUGAAUGUGAGGAAGCUUGGGAGUGGCUUUGUCAAAUACCCAAGAAAACAUGGGCAAGGCAUUCAUUUGACACAAAUUGCAAGACUGACCAUGUAGUUAACAAUUUGUCUGAGGUGUUCAACAACUAUGUCCUAGAUGUUAGGAAGAAACCAAUUAGGACAAUGUGUGAUGGAAUAAAGGAUAAGCAGAUGAUGAGGUGGCAUAGGAAUAGGGAGAGUGGAAAGAAUGCUAGAUGGGACAUAACACCCCAUUAUAGUGAGAAGCUAGAGGUUGAGAAGGAGAGGGCCAAAUAUUGCAAACCAAUUCAAGCUGGUGUGGACUUGUGGCAAGUUACAAGUGGGCAGCAAACCCAUGCUAUUAACUUGCAAUUGCACACAUGUGGGUGCAGAAAAUGGGACCUCGGUGGCAUCCCAUGUAACCAUGCCAUCUCAGCAAUAAACAAGGGCAAAAUAAAACCAGAGGAUUAUGUUAGCAAGUUCUUCAAGAAAGAAUUUUAUGUGGCAGCUUAUGAACCAAUGAUCUAUCCAGUUCCUGGUGAGCAUGACUGGACAAGGACACUUGGUCCUGACAUUGACCCACCUGCAUUUAAAGUGAAGAGAGGAAGAAAGAAAGAGAAGAGGAUCAAGGGGAGAUUUGAAGUUCCAAAGCCUAAGGACACAUCAAGAAUGGGGACUAUAACAUGUGGCAAUUGUGGACUGCAAGGACAUAGGUACACAAGCUGCAUGAAGCAGUUGAAGCUUGAGUUGGCUUUGAGGAAGAACAAACAUGUGGCCUCUUGCAAGGAAUUCCAAUGCUGGUGCUGCUGCUACUACACCAGUAGCAAGAACUUCUCAUCCAGCCCCUACAACAACACCAACAGCUGA